rnacentral:sRNA from 1 species
CCCGGCGCUUACGCACCGGGCUGUUUGAUUUCGCCCCUUUGGGGCU